GUGCCAGCCGCCGCGGUAAUACGGAGGGGGCUAGCGUUGUUCGGAAUUAUUGGGCGUAAAGGGCGCGUAGGCGGCCCGUCAAGUCAUGCGUGAAAUCUCCGGGCUUAACCCGGAAACUGCCGUUGAUACUCUCUGUCUUGAAUAUGGUGGAGGUGAGCGGAAUAUGUCAUGUAGCGGCGAAAUGCUUAGAUAUGACAUAGAACACCAAUUGCGAAGGCAGCUCGCUACACCUAUAUUGACUCUGAGGCACGAAAGCGUGGGGAUCAAACAGGAUUAGAAACCCUGGUAGUCC
rnacentral:rRNA from 1 species